rnacentral:rRNA from 1 species
GGCGGACGGGUGAGUAACACGUGGGCAACCUGCCCUGCAGAUGGGGAUAACUCCGGGAAACCGGGGCUAAUACCGAAUAAGCCAUUUUCUCACAUGAGGAAAUGCUGAAAGACGGUUUCGGCUGUCACUGCAGGAUGGGCCCGCGGCGCAUUAGCUAGUUGGUGGGAUAACGGCCCACCAAGGCGACGAUGCGUAGCCGACCUGAGAGGGUGAUCGGCCACACUGGGACUGAGACACGGCCCAGACUCCUACGGGAGGCAGCAGUAGGGAAUCUUCCACAAUGGACGAAAGUCUGAUGGAGCAACGCCGCGUGAGCGAAGAAGGUUUUCGGAUCGUAAAGCUCUGUUGUGAGGGAAGAACACGUGCGGGAGUAACUGCCCGCGCAUUGACGGUACCUCAUUAGAAAGCCACGGCUAACUACGUGCCAGCAGCCGCGGUAAUACGUAGGUGGCAAGCGUUGUCCGGAAUUAUUGGGCGUAAAGCGCGCGCAGGCGGUCCUUUAAGUCUGAUGUGAAAGCCCACGGCUCAACCGUGGAAGGUCAUUGGAAACUGGGGGACUUGAGUACAGAAGAGGAAAGCGGAAUUCCACGUGUAGCGGUGAAAUGCGUAGAGAUGUGGAGGAACACCAGUGGCGAAGGCGGCU